UGGGGAAUCUUGCGCAAUGGGCGAAAGCCUGACGCAGCCAUGCCGCGUGAAUGAUGAAGGUCUUAGGAUUGUAAAAUUCUUUCACCGGGGACGAUAAUGACGGUACCCGGAGAAGAAGCCCCGGCUAACUUCGUGCCAGCAGCCGCGGUAAUACGAAGGGGGCUAGCGUUGCUCGGAAUUACUGGGCGUAAAGGGCGCGUAGGCGGACAUUUAAGUCAGGGGUGAAAUCCCAGAGCUCAACUCUGGAACUGCCUUUGAUACUGGGUGUCUUGAGUGUGAGAGAGGUAUGUGGAACUCCGAGUGUAGAGGUGAAAUUCGUAGAUAUUCGGAAGAACACCAGUGGCGAAGGCGACAUACUGGCUCAUUACUGACGCUGAGGCGCGAAAGCGUGGGGAGCAAACAGGAUUAGAUACCCUGGUAGUCCACGCCGUAAACGAUGAUUGCUAGUUGUCGGGCUGCAUGCAGUUCGGUGACGCAGCUAACGCUAA
rnacentral:rRNA from 1 species